GCAUCAUCAAGAGAACCUGCUUGUUGUGAUUGAUGACUAGCUUCUAUCCUGACAGUUGAAGGACCAUCAGUGGUCUGACGUUGCUGAAGACUAGAAGCUCUAGUCAGAUCUCGAUAUAGAUUGAUCAGAUCAAAAAACUGUGAUUCAAAACUCCACCCUGACAUCCUCCUGCGAAGUAAGGGGUCAAGGAACUGUCUGAAGGAAUUUAAUCUUUGUUCUUCAGAAUCAGUUGUACUCAAUUCUGACUGUCGUGCCUCGUCAGUUGCACCAGCACUACCUUCCUCCACAUCAACCUUAGAUUCUUCAAGCAACGCCAACUGCCAAAGAAUUUCACGAUGAAUACGACCAAUAUCUUCCAAGACAUCUUUGCUUCCAUUUCCAAACUCUGUUAACAGA
rnacentral:misc_RNA from 1 species